rnacentral:lncRNA from 1 species
CCUGACCGGCAUCUGGCGAGGCUCAUGCGUCCCGUGAGGGCGGUUCCUCGAGCCGCGGGGCGCUCAGAUUGCUUUGGAGACGCUGAGAGAACCUUUGCGAGAGCGCCGGUUGACGUGCGGAGUGCGGGGCUCCGGGGGACUGAGCAGCACGAGACCCCAUCCUCCCCUCCGGGUUUUCACACUGGGCGAAGGGAGGACUCCUGAGCUCUGCCUCUUCCAGUAACAUUGAGGAUUACUGUGUUUUGUGAGAGCUCGCUAGGCGCCCUAAGCAACAGAGGUAACCACUUUAUAUCCUUGUUUCUCAACCUCAUUAUUCC